CUCUUCGGGGAUGAUUAAACCGGCGCACGGGUGAGUAACACGUGAGUGACCUGCCUUUUAGACUGGAACAACUUACCGAAAGGUGAGCUAAUGCCGGAUGAGUUAUAUAAGUGCAUGUUUAUAUAGGAAAAGUUGGGGAGACCUGACGCUGAAAGAUGGACUCGCGUCCCAUUAGCUAGUUGGUAGGGUAAUGGCCUACCAAGGCGACGAUGGGUAGCCGGCCUGAGAGGGUGGCCGGCCACACUGGGACUGAGACACGGCCCAGACUCCUACGGGAGGCAGCAGUGGGGAAUUUUGCGCAAUGCUCGUAAGAGUGACGCAGCGACGCCGCGUGAAUGACGAAGGCCUUCGGGUCGUAAAGUUCUUUCGACAGGGAAGAAAAUGCCUAUAAGUAACUGUGUAUGUAUUGACGGUACCUGUAUAAGCAGCCCCGGCUAACUCCGUGCCAGCAGCCGCGGUAAUACGGAGGGGGCGAGCGUUGUUCGGAGUGACUGGGCGUAAAGAGCACGUAGGCGGUGUUGUAAGUCAUUAGUCAAAGACUAGAGCUCAACUUUAGUAAGGCUAGUGAUACUAUAAUACUAGAGUAUCAGAGAGGAUUGCAGAAUUCCUGGUGUAGCGGUGAAAUGCGUAGAUAUCAGGAGGAAUACCGUUAGCGAAGGCGGCAAUCUGGCUGGAAACUGACGCUGAGGUGCGAAAGCGUGNGUAGCAAACAGGAUUAGAUACCCUGGUAAUNCACGCUGUAAACGAUGGAUGCUAGGUGUUGGGCUUUUAAGUUCA
rnacentral:rRNA from 1 species